UGGAGGGUUGGAAGGCUCGGGCACUUGAAGAUUGGAGGGCUUGGGGCAUUGGGAGAUUGGAGGGCUCGGGGCAUUGGAGGAUUGGAGGGAUUGGGGCAUUAGAGGAUUAGAGGGUUUGGGGCAUUGGAGAAUUGGAGGGCUCGGGGCAUUGGAGGAUUGGAGGGCUCGGGGCAUUGGAGGAUUGGAGGGCUCGGGGCAUUGGAGGAUUGGAGGGCUCGGGGCAUUGGAGGAUUGGAGGGAUUGGGGCAUUGGGGGAUUGGAGGGCUCGGGGCAUUGGAGGGUUGGAAGGCUCGGGCACUGGAAGAUUGGAGGGCUUGGGGCAUUGGGAGAUUGGAGGACUCGGGGCAUUGGAGGAUUGGAGGACUCGGGGCAUUGGGAGAUUGGAGGACUCGGGGCAUUGGAGGAUUAGAGGGUUUGGGGCAUUGGAGAAUUGGAGGGCUCGGGGCAUUGGGAGAUUGGAGGACUCGGGGCAUUGGAGGAUUGGAGGGCUCGGGGCAUUGGAGGAUUGGAGGGCUCGGGGCAUUGGAGGAUUGGAGAGCUCAGGGCAUAGGAGGAUUGGAGAGCUCAGGGCAUUGGGAGAUUGGAGGACUUGGGGCAUUGGAGA
rnacentral:lncRNA from 1 species